UACGUAGGUGACAAGCGUUGUCCGGAUUUACUGGGCGUAAAGGGUGCGCAGGCGGCUCCGCGCGUGUCUGGUGAAAUCUCCCGGCUCAACUGGGAGGGGGCUAGGCAGACGGCGGAGCUUGGGGCUCGGAGGGGGGCGUGGAAUUCCGGGUGGAGCGGUGAAAUGCGUAGAGAUAUGGAGGAACACCAGUGGCGAAGGCGACUUUCUGGUCUGUAACUGACACUGAGGCGCGAAAGCGUGGGGAGCAAACAGG
rnacentral:rRNA from 1 species